rnacentral:rRNA from 1 species
AUUUGCGGGGGCCUACCAUGCAGUCGAGCGGUAGCACAGAGAGCUUGCUCUCGGGUGACGAGCGGCGGACGGGGGAGUAAUGUCUGGGAAACUGCCUGAGGGAGGGGGAUAACUACUGGAAACGGUAGCUAAUACCGCAUAACGUCGCAAGACCAAAGAGGGGGACCUUCGGGCCUCUUGCCAUCAGAUGUGCCCAGAUGGGAUUAGCUAGUAGGUGGGGUAAUGGCUCACCUAGGCGACGAUCCCUAGCUGGUCUGAGAGGAUGACCAGCCACACUGGAACUGAGACACGGUCCACACUCCUACGGGAGGCAGCAGUGGGGAAUAUUGCACAAUGGGCGCAAGCCUGAUGCAGCCAUGCCGCGUGUAUGAAGAAGGCCUUCGGGUUGUAAAGUACUUUCAGCGAGGAGGAAGGCGUUGAGGUUAAUAACCUUAUUGAUUGACGUUACUCGCAGAAGAAGCACCGGCUAACUCCGUGCCAGCAGCCGCGGUAAUACGGAGGGUGCAAGCGUUAAUCGGAAUUACUGGGCGUAAAGCGCACGCAGGCGGUCUGUCAAGUCGGAUGUGAAAUCCCCGGGCUCAACCUGGGAACUGCAUUCGAAACUGGCAGGCUAGAGUCUUGUAGAGGGGGGUAGAAUUCCAGGUGUAGCGGUGAAAUGCGUAGAGAUCUGGAGGAAUACCGGUGGCGAAGGCGGCCCCCUGGACAAAGACUGACGCUCAGGUGCGAAAGCGUGGGGAGCAAACAUGAUUAUAUACCCUGGUAGUCCACGCCGUAUACGAUGUCUAUUUGUAGGUUGUUCCCUUGAGGAGUGGGUUCCGGAGCUAACGCGUUAAGUCUACCGCCUGGGGAGUACGCCGCAAGGUUAAAACUCACAUGAAUUGACGGGGGCCCGCACAAGCGGUGGAGCAUGUG